AUGAAACUAAAAACAUUUUCAUUUGUACAGACACAUCUCACUCAUAUUCGUUCCUCUUUCUUCUAUUCUCUCUUUAGUUUGUGUCUACAGCAGCUACUGUAUAUACACCCCAAAGGCUCUUUUAAGAGCCACAUCACGAGAGCGUCUUUGGCUUUUGGCACCUACAUACAACCCAAAGGCUCUUUUCAGAGCCACAUCGCCCAGCAUCCUUGGCUUUCACCUACAUACACCCCAAGGCUCUUUUCAGAGCCACUCGCCUAGCAUCACACAGCAUUAUUUUGUGUCACCCUCCACUGCCGCCUCCACAGAGUUUUUUCCCUGCCAUCUAUUACUUUAAGGUACUUAAUUUUCACUUUAAGUAAUAUUUGUGUCAUUAUUUUGGAUAUGUAGUCAUCUUGGUCACAUGUGUUAUUAGGCAUUGGGAAACUAUAUUCACAUUUGCAGUUAAGAAUCCAAGAAUCACUUAAUCCUCCAGCUAAACUAACUUACAUUAAAGAGGCAAAAUACAAAAUGUUAUGGGUGUGAAAUGAUUUUAUGAUUUAAUUUGGCAUACAGGCAAAUAUAAAGUAAUAAAGGGGGAAAGACAACUACAAGUGAUAAACAAAAAUCACUUUCAGUAUCUGGGAGUGCUUUAAGUAUUGAAAGUUUACAGAAAAAAAUCACUUUCAGUAUCUGGGAGUGCUUUAAGUAUUGAAAGUUUACAGAUAAUCAUAGUUAUGGGCUUUUCUUUUUAAUCAGCAUUAUUGCCUGCAUUCACACUAAUGCACAGAUCCAUUUCCACAUAUCAGAUGCUUUGUCCUGUUCUGAAAACAUAACUGACCGUUUACAUUAAUUUUGUAUCAUAAAAGUAGAUGCAAGUGCAUUUAACUACAGCCGCGAGCUUCAGGACAAACAAACACAAAGCACAUGUGAAUGUCUGUCAGUGCGUGAGUUUUGUGCAUCGAAUACGUACUGCAUUCUAAACAGCAGAAAUGAAGGCAUAUCUAAAGUAAAAUAACAGACUAAAAUAGACUAAAAUAACAGCGAGUGGAAGCGCUGUCGUAGGCAAUAAUUGAUUAUGGUCUAUUACUGCAUUGAUGCAGAAUCAUCCACGUCCGCAUCACGAUGAAUCAAUUAACACUCCUACAAAAUGUAUGCUUCUAUGUUUAAGUAAAGGUUUUUUUCCAGACAAUUUAGUUGAUGUUUACUUACCAGCUAUUGUUAUCAUGGCAAUCAGUGACCACCCCCGGUCAACAGCCAGAAACAAACACACACACAAAACACACACACACACAAAAAAAUUCAGGCCACAACCUAGAAAAAAAAGGAAAAAGAAAAAUAAAUAAAUAAAUAAAAGAAAAUAAAACAAAAUAAAAUAAAACAAAUUAACGUAUAAGUAAUAAAAAGAAAAAAUAAAUAAAUAAAAUAAAAAGAAAAUAAACAAUAAAUAAACAAUUCGAUAGAUAGACAUUCCGAGCUGAAACAGGAGAUAUCAUCAAAGACUUCAGAUAUGACAAAUAUGGUACACUCAUAUAAUUAUGAAUGGAAGAAAGUGUACUCAACUGCUUUAGCUUUAAUUAGGUAGUGGAAGGUGUGGGGCUUUCAGACUCCAAUGCUGAAUGACAAAAUAACCUUAUAAAGUUCAAACAUUAGACCAUUUAUGUGCAUAGUGCAUAAGUACAUGGUGUAUUAAGUGCAUAAUCGUAUAGUGCCUUGGAACUGCACAUGUGCUGAAAAAUAAACUUUAACACUAUGAGACAGUUGUUGGAACAACAUAUUUCACUGGUAUUUUUAAAUAUGAAAUUCAUUCAUAAGCUUGGUGAACAGCUUUUGGAGACUUUGCUAUUUACCUAUUAAA
rnacentral:lncRNA from 1 species